rnacentral:lncRNA from 1 species
GGAAGAAACAUUUGCUAUGCUCCUGAGUGCUAACACUGGGAUCAUUCACAUGGGGUUUGCAUUCCUAGGCAAACUAAACUGCUGCCUUUUACAACAAGGCUCAGUCAUCUUCCUGAAGCUGCUGAGACCAGCACUUGGUCUUGUUUUGUUUUAAUAUGUCUAUAUGACUGGUGGUGGAUCCCUAAAUAGUUUAUUAAUUAAACUCCAGUUAAGGAGAAAGUUACUCACCUUGACCCGUUUGACCAUAUCCCGUGUGUGUGUGUGUGUGUGUGUGUGUGUGUGUGUGUGUGUGUGUGUGCACGCGUAUGUACGUACGUAUGUAUGUAGGUAUGUAGGUGGUUUCCAGUAUAAACACAGAAACAAAUGGAGCCAAUUCAGGUUUCAGAUGCCCUUACUAACAUAUAUUCCCACGGGGUGUGGGUUUUGGCACAACAGUGACAAACUUAAAAGCCAAGUAAGAGCCGGGCGUGGUGGCGCACGCCUUUAAUCCCAGCACUUGGGAGGCAGAGGCAGGCGGAUUUCUGAGUUCUAGGCCAUCCUGGUCUACAGUGAGUUCCAGGACAGCCAGUGCUACACAGAGAAACCCUGUCUCGAAAAGCCAAAAAAAAAAAAAAAAAAAAAAAAAAAAAGCCAAGUAGGUCCAGUUGGUAUAGUAUCAAAGUGUUUUUAGAGUAAUUAGUGAAGGUCUGCUUUACCUCAAAGUUGCAGAGCCUCUCUUCCUGAGUUUAAGUGCCUGGCCGGCAGUCACAAAUUAACAUGUUGCUGUAAGGCAGUUAGUUGAAGCUUUGUUCACACAUUGGAGAGUAUGAAAAUAAAGUGUUCUAAGAGCGCUGAUACUGGAUCUGUGUAAACCUGGUAAAUGCCGUUUGUCCAGGACUUAGCGUGUGUGAGUUGGUAGCUCAGUACGAGUUUACUAGUUCCGCAGUGUGUACAAUGGAGGCGGGUUUGUUUUAGCUGGCCACCUGUAGAAUCAGCCUUUAAACUGCUGUGAACUUUGUCAUGACUUGAAUAUGAAGAUAGACAAAAACUCUGUAAAGACAAAUGUUUGUUUUCCCCCUUACAGAACGUGUGAGCUUGGUUUUAUCUUCCUUUGUAUUUAGUCAUAACCUCUCAAGCUGGCAGCUCCGACCAAGGAUCAGAAGCUGUGUGCGUUCCACCUGGUGGAAUUAGCUCAGCUCUAUAUGAGAAGUGGAGUUAAUGGAAAACGUGUUGACUGGGUGGUUUCUAUUUAAAAGAGUGAUGAUAAUUCUUGAACAGUAGUUUUUAUUUUGCUAUUUCUUUAAGCUGACUGAUGUGCCACAAAAUUAUUUUAAGGUAUUUGUGUUUUAAGAGUGUUCUCAUGAGAUUAGUUGUAGAUAUUUUUUAAAAUACAACUGGUUUUUAAAAUCUGAGUAUUGCUCUAAGCAAGUGUUUAGACUCUUACGGGAAGGUGGGUGGAAGUUGUUUGGCUUCCGUAUUUCCAUGCGUGCCGUCAGACAUAGGUCAGAACGCCAACUGUGCAUCCUGCUGUUUAAAGACCUCUUGGCCUCUGUGACCCUCAUGAAGGGGCUGAUAUUUUAAGUUGACUGUUUGAUUGUAAAUUAAUCCUUUCUAAUUUUUAAAGACUUGCUUGACUGUUUUCCUUGUUAAAUAAUUUUAAAAAAAUAAAAAACUGGAAGUUC